UCCUACGGGGGGCGGCAGUGGGGAAUAUUGGACAAUGGGGGCAACCCUGAUCCAGCAAUGCCGCGUGUGUGAAGAAGGCCUGCGGGUUGUAAAGCACUUUUAUCGGGGAAGAAUAGGUUGUCGUUAAUAGCGCCAACACUUGACAUUACCCGUUGAAUAAGCACCGGCUAACUCCGUGCCAGCAGCCGCGGUAAUACGGAGGGUGCGAGCGUUAAUCGGAAUUACUGGGCGUAAAGGGUGCGUAGGCGGAAGCUUAAGUCUGAUGUGAAAGCCCCGGGCUUAACCUGGGAAUGGCAUUGGAAACUGGGUUUCUAGAGUGUGGUAGAGGAUAGUGGAAUUUCCAGUGUAGCGGUGAAAUGCGUAGAUAUUGGAAAGAACACCGAUGGCGAAGGCAGCUAUCUGGGCCAACACUGACGCUGAGGUACGAAAGCGUGGGGAGCAAACAGGAUUAGAUACCCUGGUAGUCCACGCCCUAAACGAUGUCGACUUGUCGUUGGGGGAGUUUAAUCCUUCAGUGACGGAGCUAACGCGUUAAGUCGACCGCCUGGGGAGUACGGCCGCAAGGUUGAAACUUAAAGGAAUUGACGG
rnacentral:rRNA from 1 species